GAUGAACGCUGGCGGCGUGCCUAAUACAUGCAAGUCGAGCGAACAGACGAGGAGCUUGCUCCUCUGACGUUAGCGGCGGACGGGUGAGUAACACGUGGAUAACCUACCUAUAAGACUGGGAUAACUUCGGGAAACCGGAGCUAAUACCGGAUAAUAUAUUGAACCGCAUGGUUCAAUAGUGAAAGACGGUUUUGCUGUCACUUAUAGAUGGAUCCGCGCCGCAUUAGCUAGUUGGUAAGGUAACGGCUUACCAAGGCAACGAUGCGUAGCCGACCUGAGAGGGUGAUCGGCCACACUGGAACUGAGACACGGUCCAGACUCCUACGGGAGGCAGCAGUAGGGAAUAUUCCGCAAUGGGCGAAGGCAUGACGGAGCAACGCCGCGUGAGUGAUGAAGGUCUUCGGAUCGUAAAACUCUGUUAUUAGGGAAGAACAAAUGUGUAAGUAACUAUGCACGUCUUGACGGUACCUAAUCAGAAAGCCACGGCUAACUACGUG
rnacentral:rRNA from 1 species